UUUAAAAAAAAAAAAAAAACCGCCUGCAAAAACUGUUGUGCAGAAAAAACAAUGAUACUCCAUUACUCCCUAUGUAAACUGCGUUAAAACUUAUCGUUUUCAAAAAUCCGUUCGUUUUGAAGAUUUUUUCUGUAUCGUAUUAUAAGUGCCUAUAUGAUGAUACGACAAGUCACAGUGAUUCCCUAUAAGGUCACUUCACAUUAUGCGUGUUAACGUUGAUGUUUCGUGUUUGUCGUUUCGCAAUAUUUCGAACGGUUGUUUAAUUUUUAAGUUUUUAAAUUCGUCUAUAGAUGUCAGCGCUAGUUCAUCAUUCCAAUCGGACACCAUGAUCACAACUAAUUGAUGAACUAAAUUUGUAACGAAAUUUGAUUAAACACAAUAUCUGUAAUAAAUUGUUGAUAGCGAUGAGGUUAUCUACAUUUAUUACCUAAUUUAAUUUAUUAUCUAAAAAUAUAUACUGUUCAUGAAAACAAAUUCAACACGAAACAUCACGAAACCAUACGAAAUUAUUUUUUCGUGUCCUUUGAUUUCGUCAAUUUAUCGCCGCGGUCGCGAAAUAAUUUUCACGAAAAAAUGUUUCGUGAAAAAGCCAUACCCACUAUUCGCGAAAAAUUACACGAUAAUGUGAAAAUACGAAACGCGAAACGCGAAAUUCGCAUAGUGAUGGAGCGACCUUUAUACGGAAUCUCGUAGGUAAUUUACCGGUGGUACUUGUAUUGAAUAUUUUUUUUUUAAACAAGGCACGUAUAUUAUUGCUCCCCCCCAAAAAAACCCUUUUCAUAUCUUUCAGUAUUCCGUUAUAAAUUGUAUUGGACACCGACAUUUCCUUUCUUAUUGUUUAGCACAUACGCAGCGGCAUAGCAAUUUAGACCAAUUUUCCUUCAUCAGUCCGAAC